rnacentral:lncRNA from 1 species
ACAUGAACAAGAUUUUCUGAAAGACUGCUAUGGAGUCUGAGAAAAAAUGUCAAAGAUUGAGGACAUGAAGAGGAAAGAACUGACAGAGGAGGUGAAGAAAGGUGAUCAGGAAGAGCCAUCAAAGUGUUAUCCUGGAAUUCAAGUGAAGACAGUGUUUCAAAGUGGAAAUGAACAGUGUCCUGUAACCCUCAGAGUGAGACUAGAGUCAGAAUGCAAGCUUUUCUCAUUUGAAAUCUCAGGGUAAGUCCAGGUCCUUACCUCCACCUAAAAGUUCUGCCAUCAAGGAACAUCUGCUCAUUAUCUUCUGUCCACACAUCAAAUGACUUCAAUGUGAUCCCUGGAUGUUCUCCAAAGAGCUGAAAGGAAAUAAAUAUUCUUUCUUUAUCACCAAAUACUUCAAAUGCAGAGUGGUUGUGCUACCAAGGCCUGAAACUUCGGAAAAACCUGCAUAACACAAAAUAUAUAUGCCACAGAGAGGAUCCAGAGAGCUCAUCUCCGGUCAGUUAUCUGUAUUUGCAUGUCAACUACAGCAUCAAAAAGCAUAGGCAUGGAUACUAAGGACCCCCUCUGUACACCAACGCCAGUCCAAAGGAUAGUGUGUCACUGUGAACUGGAAAUUCAUCUCUCUUCUUCAUUUUUUUUCUACCUACUUUAUGCUUUAUCUCUAAGUUGAGGCUGUUUAUGGCCUCAUCCUCAAUUACCUUGUCCCUCAUUACUCCCAGUUAAUGGAGAUUAAGCUUUGUAUCAUGACUUCCUAACUAAAACUGAAAUCACAAGACAUCACAUAAAUAAAGUU